rnacentral:lncRNA from 1 species
UUUUUUUUUUUUUUUUUUUUUUCUUUUCUAGGGCUGCUCCUGUGGCAUAUGGAGGUUCCCAGGCUAGGGGUCAAAUCGGAGCUGCAGCCACCGGCCUACGCCAGAGCCACAGCAACGUGGGAUCCAAGCCGCGUCUGCAACCCACACCACAGCUCAGGGCAAUGCCGGAUCGUUAACCCACUGAGCAAGGGCAGGGAUCGAACCUGCAACUUCAUGGUUCCUAGUCAGAUUUGUUAACCACUGCGCCACAAUAGGAACUCCCCGAAAAUUUUUUUUUUUUUUAAAUUCUAGAAAGUUUCAUUAAGCAAAACUUGAAUUUGGCCUGCACUAGCAACUAUUUACAAAGCAUUUAUAUUAUAUUUUACAACUACUUAUACAGCAUUUACAUUUUAUUAGGUAUUAUAAGUAAUCUAGAGAUGGCUUAGAGUAUAAAAUGGGAGGUACUCAGGUUAUAUGCAAAUACCAUACCAUUUUAUUGUGGUAUGGGUUAAUAGGAAGGUCCUACCUUAGAUAGGAUGAUCUAAGAAAGUUGCUUAGAGGAGUUAUCAUUUAAGCUGAGAUUAUAGAGUCAAGGACCCACCCAAGAAAAGAGUGAAUUUAAGAAGCACCAGUUCCAGCAUGCUUCAAUAAUAACACUGAGAGAAAGUGAAAGCUGAAUAACCACAGUUCUCUUCCAAAGCAAGAAUUGCAGCACCUCAAGUGAACUCAACAGCAAAAACUAUUAGAAUCCAAUCACUCCCUAGGGGUGAAUACCAGAGGAAAAGAAAAGCUUCACAAGGUUCUGACUGGAACAAUAUCUUGUGGAGCUAGAUAGAACCCACCCUGCCCUGUCUGAUACUGGGAAACAAAGGUGACUUCACUUGCAGCUGCAUUGCUGCUAACAAAGCUCCUAAAGCACUUAGACCAUGACUGUCUAGUGGAAGUCUGAAACUCUGCUUCAUCCCACAGAACAAUCUCACUGGAGCAGAUGUGUCCAGAGGUAAGCCAUAUUAUUGCUACUAUGGUAACCUGGAAGUUAGAGAUAAAAAAUUCGCCCCUCAUCAGCACAGGGUAACCAGCACAACAAGCCAUUCCUUGACUGUGAAUGAAUUUUGAUAACUCCAGCUUCAGUAACUCCUGGGCAAGUAGCAGUGAAAAAAAAUAGCCUGUUGGAUCUACCUGGACACUCUAACAUAAUCAGAAAUAACUCUCCAUGACUCAAGUGAUUGAGAAACAAUAUAAACAAGACAGUUUUCUGAGUUCUGUUCAAACACCUUACUCAGAAUCUUCUUUCUUGUUCUCUCCACAUUGUUUUGCUUUGUUCACAGCUUUUGGAUUCAAUUCACUUGUUAGUUGACCUAUUGUGCUUUAGGUUUGUCUUAUGUUCUUGGCUUCACUGACUUAAUGACAACCACCCUCUUCAGGACUUUGGCAAAACAAAACAAAACAAAACAUUGUUUCUUUUCAUGCUGCCCAAUUAAAGUAGAUAAAGUCUCCAUUAUCUUAGCUCUUAUGCUCAACCCUGAAAUCAUCUACCGAGAUGUCUCACAGGUAAGGCUUUUUUCAUUGUAAGGGAAGGUUAGGGCACUGGAAGUCAUUCUCUUCAAGUAAGAAAUGAUGGCUCCUGAUGAAGAACGGAAAAGACAACUGUCACUCCAUCAUUCCAGCUCUAACUUUAGCUUUCUAUGAAUUUUUUUUUUUUUUCUGGUCAAAGGUGAAUGAAAAAAUUGGAAAGAGGAGGAUGCAUUUUAUUUUGUUUUGUUUGUAAAGAAAUGAGCCUAUUUCCAUAGAUGGAACAACAUGGAGUAGAAAGUUACUGGGAAAGGAGUCUAAUAAAAGUGAACUAAGAAAGGGCAAAUUUUGUGAUAUACUAAGUCUAAUUGUUUAAAUCCAUUUUAAAAUUUGGUGCCAAAGAGUAUUGCUUUACUUUAUAAAUGGAUCUGAAGCAUCCAUAUAUAAUAUUGAACAUUUAAUACUAACUGUGUUCUACUACUACAAAUAGGACCAAGGUCUCUAUAAACAAUCAGGUAAGAUCAUGCCAUACCGACAAAAGUGUGCAAAAAUGCUAAUAAACUCAGCUCAUAGGAAGAGAAGAUGGUUGUUAUGAUCUCAUCCCCUAAAUAUAAAUCUCCAGCUUAAGGCAUUCUGCAGUUGUCACUGGGUCAACACAAUAAAAGCAAGGGAUUAAGUUAAAUCCUGGCCUUUUCAGUCAAACAGAUGGACAAAUAUUCAUGAGAGAAGCACAUGGACCAGGAAGAUGAUAGCAAAAAAUUGCCCAUGCUAGGCUCACCUCUGUGUGACUAAACCCUAUUCCACAGGUUUUCUAAUGGCUUAAAAGAGCAGGGUUAGCUAUCCUUGAAAAAGACAAAUAAUGGUCCUCUACUAGGAAGACAUCCUGAAAUCAUCAGGGAAGAUUUUUUUCCCCAAAAUUAACCUUUCCUUCCUUCAGCUGGGAACUGUGGACUAAAUUUAAUUGGAGUAAUCAUUUUAGAUAAAAGACAUGAAGAAAAUUAAAGUAUAAUGGUAGGAUUACCAUUAGAAACUAUGUCUCCUAAAAAUACUCUAAAAAGCCAAUGUUCUGAGAAGCCAAGAAUAUUGGUUAAUUUUAUACCACUGUGAUAGACUGAGAACUGUACCAAAAUAUGGAGGCUACUUGACUCCAUAUUUGCCUCAAUCAACAACAUGCAAGGGAGAAGCCCAAUAUGUCAAAUCACCAUCCCACAGCUUAGGGAUGACUAACUUUGACAGGAGAGCAGUGUUUUACACUCAUCUCAUUAAACUCUGUCCAUUUUCACAUAACACCACAUGGUUCCCAGUAUGCACCACAGAGACAACUUUGAGUCUUUAGAUACAAAUGUCAUGAGUGAGCUGGGGUAGUGUUUUCUGUUUCUCUUCCCCCAUUGUCAUGGCAACAGAGGGGAAAGGUGGAAGGCAGGCUUUAUACCAAGAUUGCUGGCAUGUGGGCUCAGGCUUCUCCCCCAAAAAAUCUGGAUCACAGUCACACACGGAAAUUAUAAGAUCUUCUGAGAAUAAAAGGAAACCAAAUCAUAUUAAAGGUAUGUUAUUUUGUCUUUUAUCCUGUUCUUACAGGAAAUUUAAAGAUCUCUAAAACAUUGUUUUCAAACUGUCAGGUAUACUAUUUUGCUCUUAAAAUUAAGAUAGCGGGUUGUGAACUUUAAAAUAAAAAGGAGAAACAGACUACGAUAGGAUAGAUAAGAUAAAUAUAUAGAAUGGAAAAUAUUUGCAGGCAUCAUGCAUAGAAAAUGUAAAUAUUGUGAAAAUUUUGUUUCAAUUUAUAAAUGUCUGCAUAAAUGUACUAAGUCACGAUUUACAUGCAUUUUUUCUGUAGUUUAUGAAAAUGUUUGAAAACUACUGCCAUAAAGAAUACCUAUCCGAUUGCCCAAAUAGUAUUUCUUUACAGGAAUGCAAUUGGCUUUGUGAGCUGGCCAAUCUCCUUUAUAAGUAAUUAAUUCACAUACUGCAGGACUUAAAGUCAUGUAUUUUCCCUAGCUACUAAAUUCCAGUACUUCUCCCUGGUCACUGUAACAACUACAUGUUUCCAAAUGCUACCUGAGAAGUAAUUCUAUAAAGAAAUAUGAAUCCAAUGAUCAAAGGUUGCUAACUCAAUGCAUACCUGCUGAAAAAAAAGUGUUUCCAAGAUCCUUUUGCAUUGAGAGCUUGACGUCCAAUGGCGGUCACUUUGUAGGCCUUUAUCUGGGAAGUGUACAUUGUUCUAUUUAUUCUGCAAAUUAAGUCUUCUGUUCCAAGCUACCACCAAUCUGAUACUAAAUUCAUUAGCAAAAUGAAAUGAAAAGAACAUAACAUAAAUUGCUAUUAAUGGAGUUCCAUGCCUGUUGCUCCCCACACAAUGUACUAAAAAUGGACUCAUCUCUAUUUGAAUCAGUGCUUUUCAAUAUGUAGCAUUGCAGUAGGAAGGUUUUUCCUUAAAACUACAAAAGCAUUUUAUAAAGCUCCCUUUCAAGGCUAACCUAGAGGAAUUUUUGCCAUCAACAUAUGUUGAUUAAGAAUUUACACUUCGGUAGAUCUCUCUUCUAUAUUUAGGAUCAAAUAAGGAGAAAUUAUGGUCUGGGCUAAAGAAUUGAAACUGUAAUAUUGUAAUAAUUGUAAGAUAUUUCUUACUUCCUGUGACUUACUUUGUAUGACAGUGAUAAGCAGCUCAUAAUGCUUCAUCUGCCAUUCCUAUCCACAGAACCUAGAAAUAGUACAGUAUACAACAAUUUUUAAAUGAAGACAGAAUCAGCUGGUAGCACCCUAUUCCAGUAUAUUAGUUACAUUUACACUUGAAUGGGGGAGUUUCUCUUCUUUGGAGCAAAAUAUAGUCUUUAUAGAUUUCUAAAACUUAGUUAUCUUUCCCAAGUUUGAAAUAAUAGAUAUUUUGAAGGUAUCAAGAGAAACAGCAUGAAUUUAUAACCUACUCAGAAAUGGUAAAACUGCGCUUGAAUUUUUCACAAACUUCCCUAUCUCUGGCUGGCUUGGGACCUAACUAUGUGUAAGCAAGAUUUAAGUCAACCAAAUCUAAAAUUCGCAAAUACUCUGAAUUACCCAUCUAUUUUCCUUCCAGGACCCCAAGAGGAACUGAACUGAAUUCUUACUUCCCAUAAUGAGUAUUAAUGGACAAUUUGUUAGAGAUGAAAAAGCAAACCUUAAAGAAGGGUUUUUAAGUCAGAUAAUCACACCUAUUGCUCAAGGAUUAUCUUCAAAUAGUUUAUUGAAAAAAAUGUCAAGAAGCAAAAAAUGGACAUGAAGAAAGAUAAAAGUGAAAAUGAACAAUAUCAUAAUACAUGUUUAAAUGAUAAAGUGAAUAAAAAAUAUGAGAAAAAGUACUUUUUUUAAAAUAGAAAGACUAUUCAAAUGAGUAAAAGAAGGCCACAUAGUGGAAGGUCUGAGGGAUAAAUCCAGAUAGAUUGCACAUUGCAAGUGUUCAGUAAAAAGUAUUCAAAGGGAGAAAAAAAUGCAAUAGGCAUUGGGUAAG